rnacentral:rRNA from 1 species
CCCUUAGAUGUUCUGGGCCGCACGCGCGCUACACUGAUGCAUUCAACGAGCCUAUCCUUGACCGACAGGUCCGGGUAAUCUUUGAAUCUGCAUCGUGACGGGGAUAGAUUAUUGCAAUUAUUAAUCUUCAACGAGGAAUGCCUAGUAGGCGCAAGUCAUCAGCUUGCGUCGAUUACGUCCCUGCCCUUUGUACACACCGCCCGUCGCUCCUACCGAUUGAAUGCUCAGGUGAGCCAUUCGGACUUUCAUCAUGCUGGUUUCCAGUUUUGAUGAAGGAAAGUCUUUCGAACCUUAUCAUUUAGAGGAAGGAGAAGUCGUAACA